rnacentral:rRNA from 1 species
CUACGGGGUGCACCAGUCAAGAACCUUCCGCAAUGCACGAAAGUGUGACGGAGCGACGCCGCGUGAUGGAUGAAGUACUUCGGUAUGUAAACAUCUUUUAUAAGUGAGGAAAUUAUUGACGUUAGCUUAUGAAUAAGGGGUUCCUAAUCACGUGCCAGCAGGAGCGGUAAUACGUGAGCCCCAAGCGUUAUCCGAAAUUACUGGGCGUAAAGGGUGCGUAGGCUGUUAUAUUAGUCGUGUGUCAAAGUUCCGAGCUCAACUCGGGGAAGGCAUCCGAAACGGUAUAACUCGAGUAUGUAAGAGGCAAGUAGAACUCUCGGUGUAGGGGUGAAAUCCGUUGAUAUCGAGGGGAAUACCAAAAGCGAAGGCAGCUUGCUGGUACAUUACUGACGCUGAUGCACGAAACCGUGGGUAGCGAAUGGGAUUAGAUACCCCCGUAGUC